AAUAUAUUUGAUUCUGGUUUAACUUAAUUAGGUUUAUGAUAAUUUUACAUGUGAAUUUUUGUGUUUUGGUUAUAUUUAAUUAUUAAUCUAAAUGAUUAAUUAAGUUUAAUCUUUAAUUAAUUAUUUAUUUAUUCGCAGUUUUUAAUUUUAAAUUAUUGUUAAUGUAAGAAAUUAUGAUUUAUUUAUUUGUAUUAUUUAGUUAGCUAAUAAUGUGCCAGCAGCUGCGGUUAAACAUUUGACUAUACUUAAUUUUUUCGAGCUUAACCAUUCAAUUAUUUUAUUAUUAUAAAUUAUAUUUAUUUAUUGAAUUUAGGUGAAAUUUAUUUUAUAUAAAUUAUUUUAUGGUUUUUGUUGAUGGUAAAUUUAUUUUAUUAAACUAGGAUUAGAUACCCUAUUAUUGUAAAUGUAAAUUUAAGCUUUUAUUAUUAAUAGUUUUGGUCUUUAAAUUAAAAGAAUUUGACGGUAAUUAUAUCUUUUCAGAGGAACCUGUCCUUUAAUUGAUAGUCCACGUUAAAUUUUACCUUAAUUUAUUAGUUUGUAUAUCUCUGUUAUUUUUGAAUGUUUUAUUAGAAUUAUUUUCUUUAAUUUAUUUAUUAUUUAUUUAAAUAUAUAUCAGGUCAAGGUGCAGCUAUAUUAAGGCAAGAGAUGGGUUACAUUAAUUUAUUUAAAUUUUGGAUUUAGUUUAUAAUAUGUAUAUUAUCUGAUAAAAUAGGAUUUGAUUGUAACAUUUAUUAUAUAUUAAUUGUGAUAAUUUGCUCUUUAUUAAGUACACAUCGCCCGUCGCUCUCAUUAAUUUAAGAUGAGAUAAGUCGUAACAAAGUAGGCCUAUCGGAAGAUGGGCCUGGAAUUAUU
rnacentral:ncRNA from 1 species